rnacentral:rRNA from 1 species
UAUGCUAGGAUGUGAUGGGGAAGCCCUCCGGGGCGAAGUAGCUGAUUUCACACUGUCAAGAAAAGCUUCUAUCGAGUUUAAAGGCGCCCGUACCGUAAACCGACACAGGUGGGUGAGGAGAGUAUCCUAAGGCCAGCGAGAGAACUAUUGUUAAGGAACUCGGCAAAAUGACCCCGUAACUUAGGGAGAAGGGGUGCCUGUCUAUGACAGGCCGCAGAGAAUAGGCCCAAGCGACUGUUUACCAAAAACACAGGUUUCUGCUAAGUCGCAAGACGAUGUAUAGGAGCUGACGCCUGCCCGGUGCUGGAAGGUUAAGGGGAUCUGUUAGAGCAAUCGAAGCAGUGAACUUAAGCCCCAGUAAACGGCGGCCGUAACUAUACGGUCCUAAGGUAGCGAAAUUCCUUGUCGGGUAAGUUCCGACCCGCACGAAAGGCGUAACGAUUUGGGCACUGUCUCAACAAUAGACUCGGUGAAAUUGUAAUCCCGGUGAAGAUGCCGGGUACCUGCGACAGGACGGAAAGACCCCAUGGAGCUUUACUGUAGCUUGACGUUGGGUCUUGGUACUACAUGUACAGGAUAGGUGGGAGACUAUGAAGCAUGGACGCCAGUCUGUGUGGAGUCAUCCUUGGGAUACCACCCUUGUAGUACUGGGAUCCUAACCAUAGGCCUUGAAUCAGGUCUUGGAACACCGUCAGGUGGGCAGUUUGACUGGGGCGGUCGCCUCCUAAAAAGUAACGGAGGCGCUCAAAGGUUUCCUCAGCACGGUCGGAAAUCGUGCGUAGAGUGUAAAGGCAAAAGGAAGCUUGAUUGCAAGACAUACAGGUCGAGCAAGGACGAAAGUCGGACUUAGUGAUCCGGUGGUACCGCAUGGAAGGGCCAUCGCUCAACGGAUAAAAGCUACCCUGGGGAUAGCAGGCUUAUCUCCCCCAAGAGUCCACAUCGACGGGGAGGUUUGGCACCUCGAUGUCGGCUCAUCACAUCCUGGGGCUGUAGUAGGUCCCAAGGGUUGGGCUGUUCGCCCAUUAAAGUGGUACGCGAGCUGGGUUCAGAACGUCGUGAGACAGUUCGGUCCCUAUCCGUCGCAGGCGUAGGAAAUUUGAGAAGACCUGUCCUUAGUACGAGAGGACCGGGAUGGACGUACCUCUGGUGUACCAGUUGUUCUGCCAAGGGCAUGGCUGGGUAGCUAUGUACGGAAUGGAUAAGCGCUGAAAGCAUCUAAGCGCGAAGCCAACUUCAAGAUAAGAUUUCCCACCGUAAGGGUAAGACCCCAGGAAGACUACCUGGCUGAUAGGUCGAAGGUGUAAGUGCAGUAAUGUAUUUAGCUUAUCGAUACUAAUAGGUCGAGGACUUGACCAG